CCUACGGGAGGCAGCAGUGGGGAAUAUUGCACAAUGGGGGAAACCCUGAUGCAGCGACGCCGCGUGAGUGAAGAAGUAUUUCGGUAUGUAAAGCUCUAUCAGCAGGAACGAGACAAGACGGUACCUGACUAAGAAGCCCCGGCUAACUACGUGCCAGCAGCCGCGGUAAUACGUAGGUGGCAAGCGUUGUCCGGAUUUACUGGGUGUAAAGGGCGUGCAGCCGGGAAGACAAGUCAGAUGUGAAAUCCCGCGGCUCAACCGCGGAACUGCAUUUGAAACUGUUUUGCUUGAGUACCGGAGAGGUCAUCGGAAUUCCUUGGGUAGCGGUGAAAUGCGUAGAUAUAAGGAAGAACACCAGUGGCGAAGGCGGAUGACUGGACGGCAACUGACGGUGAGGCGCGAAAGCGUGGGGAGCAAACAGGAUUAGAUACCCCUGUAGUC
rnacentral:rRNA from 1 species